GAGAGUUGAUGGUUGGUGAAUGGGUGAGGAGAUGGGUGAGGAGAUGGGGGGUGAGGGGGUGAGGGUGUGUUGAGAGCAUCCUUCUCAUUAAUUGCUCUUUCUCAUUUCUCCUCCUGAAUCCUUAAAGCAGAGAGAGAGAGAGCGCGCGAGCGGAGUGAACGAGGCCCGAAAAUGUCAGCGAGUCUGGGCGAGAGAGGUUAACAAACACUGAGGAGAGAGAGAGAGGGGUGAGAGAGAGAGAGAGAGGGAGAGAGGGGGGAGAGAGGUUCCUAAUUGGUAUUGGUUUUAACAAGUACUAGUCUAUAAAUGUAAUUGAGUUUUAAAACCGGUUCUUGUCUCCAUUUCCAGUCUGAUCAGAAUGAGGCUCGCGCGCUCUGAUCAUCGUAUACUUUUAUAAAUAUGAUCCAUAAACACGCGAGGAGGACCGGGGAGGUAAUAGGCUCAGAGAAAGUGGCUGUAAACGCUUUAACAAACUAUAAAGCUCCAUAAAGCGGGGAGGGGGGCAGUGUGUGUGUCUGUCUGUGUGUGUGUGUGUGUGUGUGUGUGUGUGUGUGUGUGUGUGUGUGUGUGUGUGUGUUUGCUUGUUUACGUCCCGGCAGCACAGAAACAAACCGGGAUGGUUUACGACGCGCCCUUUGCGCGACCGGAGGCCGUAAACGCCUCAUCCUCGCCGGUAUUUAAGUGUCAUUUUCUGCGUGUUUGCCAUACGGUUGUUGGUCCUUGUCCUGCAGGAGAGUACAGAGAGGUUUUCAAACAAGGAAUCAGACAAAGACACACCGAGCAGGAGCAGAGCGUGAAAGUCAGAGGGCCUGAGGAGCCAAAAGUCUGAACUUUGGAGUGUUUUUAUAUCCUGACACAGUAAUCGAUGAUGCAGGUGAAAGUGAAUUUCCUCUCUUCAGUUUUUGCUUCUUUCAUUUGAUUUCCAUCAGUGAAUGUUUUCCUGUUUGUGUCGCGCUCAGACUAAUAAAACCGUCAUUACUGGAGUUUAAUAUAUUCAGAUUAUACCGCGCUGACACAAGAGGCCCAAAUGUUGCCAGCAGUCCUCUGAAUUACACUCUCUGUUGUGGUAAAUCAGCUGAUUAUACGCCCGACUUUCUGAGGAGUAAUUGCCGCAGUAUUUUUCCAAUUUAUUACCUCGAAUAUGAUCUUAUUGAAAGUUCAGCGCGCCGUGUUUUACACUUCUAAUAAAGUGUUUGCUUAUGAGAUCUGCGCGGGGCUGGAUUGUGCAAGAAAAAAAAAAAGAAACAGUAGUCCGGACAAAUCACUAAAUUAGAGGACAGGGAGAGAGAGUUAAUAUCUGAGGAGACACACAAACAGACACACAAACAGACACACAAACAGACACUCAACACAACAGAUUUGGAGAUGUUUAAAACACCAAACACUCUCCCUCCUCUGCGCUGAUUCAACACUAAAAUAAUCAGGUAAAGGUUUGUCAGCACCCUAAAGGUGUGUGUGUGAGUGUGAGUGUGUGUGUGUGAGAGAGUGUGUGUGUUUCCUUACACUGAGCAGAGGAAGCCAAACACACACCUACACAUUCCUGCAUAUUAAGAAGGGAAAUAAGGUGCGUGCGUCCUUGGAGUGGAUUGUGCACCAACACAAAUAAACAUUUCCUGGAGGUCUGCACGUAUCCUGCACGCCCAUAGGGAGAGUAUUUUCCAAGGCCUCAACCCUUCCUCAUCCUCCUCCUCCUCCUCUUCAUCCUCAACCCAAAACACAAACUCUAAAUGUCUCACACUCUCCUCUUUUCUCCUUAAAUUCACGCUCAAUAGAGAAUAAAUCAAGUUUCAGCCCUUAAAGAACAACAUGCGUGUUCGUGUCCUCCACUGAAGUGAGCAGAGAGAUUCACGGUUCAUCCGUGGAGCAAGAGCGCCAUCAAGUGGCAGCACGCACGAAGGCCACAGGGGGGAUGUCGGCCUGUAAUGCGGCUUUAUGGUUCUAUUAAGUGCGCACAUAAAGCUACAUAAGCUGCUUUAAAAUAAAACUGCGGGUUAUAAUUGGAGGCCAGAUGUGAGGGCUGAUCUGGGAUUUGAGGGAGAGAAAAAAGAGAAGAGGAGGAAAGAGAGAGAGAGAGAGAGCAGAGGAGGAAAAACCCAAACAAACCCGGAUUAUUCUGACUCAACAUGAGCGAAACCAACAAAAUUCAAGGAGUGUGUUUUUUUUUUAGAGAGGUUUAAACCCCAGAGAGUGAGAAAUAAACAUGCAGAGACUGGUAAAAAAAAACAUAAGGUACUGAGUGGAAAAUCUGUUCAGGGUGUGAAUAAAAUAAAUGAAAACUGGGGAAAAAAACACUAGGUGAGUGGAGCUGUUAUCUGGUUUAAUGGUCAGAUUUUUAGCACUUCUAUUUUAGGCCUAAAUGUGAGCUGGAUGGUAAAUAAUAUCUGUUAAUAUUGUUUUUAAUUUUAUACUCUGAGAAGAUGUGGUUUUAAGAUAACUAUAAAACAUUCUUAA
rnacentral:lncRNA from 1 species